ACCUUUUUAGCUCAAAGGAAGAGCAAAAGCCUUCUAAGCUUGAGGUUAUAGGUUCGAUUCCUAUAGAAGGUG
rnacentral:tRNA from 1 species